UAUCAUUCAUAUGUUGCACAAAUUAUUAGUUAUAUUGUUACAAGUUGUUGGCCUAGUUGUAAUAACAGGUGCAACAAAUUGAGGGACCUGGAUAUAAGAAGCUUCUGGUCAGUUCAUUUAUGGAGAUUUAACCCCCAAAUUUCUUUCAUCACUCUAUCUCUCAAUUACUAGCCUACAUACGUAUUACACACUCUGUUCGUUCAAGGCAAGUUGGUCUGUCGCAGUGAUGGUUUGAUGGAGAUUCUUUAUGAAUCUUGUUCGGUUAUUGAUCAUCAAUGGUGGUUCCCCUAAUUCUCAUUACUGAUUCUCAAUAUGGUUCUUUCUGCAUCUUGUGAGAAUUUUAGGGUUAUUUAUUUGGUAUUGUUGAAGGUUGUGAGUAGUCUCUCGGUUGUAUAUUGUGAGAGAUUGUCUUCUAGUUUUGAUAAUCAUCGGUGGAUGGUUAUCCAGUUGUUGUUUGUUCAUUUGUUGUUUCAUCUCUCAUAUGUCAAGAGAGAUUCAAUUUCUGAGUAUGAUGAUCAUCAGAGGAUGAUCAUCGCUUGUAUUUCUGUAUUUUUUGUAUUAGAUCUUACAUAAGUAAGAUCUAGGGUUUGGGGGGUGUUUUUUUGGUUUGGGUAAAGAUAAUAAAAGUUUUGUCACAGUUUUGUCGCU